AGUGAACGCCGGCGGUAGGCCUAACACAUGCAAGUCGAACGGCAGCACAGUAAGAGCUUGCUCUUACGGGUGGCGAGUGGCGGACGGGUGAGGAAUACAUCGGAAUCUACUUUUUCGUGGGGGAUAACGUAGGGAAACUUACGCUAAUACCGCAUACGACCUACGGGUGAAAGCAGGGGAUCUUCGGACCUUGCGCGAUUGAAUGAGCCGAUGUCGGAUUAGCUAGUUGGCGGGGUAAAGGCCCACCAAGGCGACGAUCCGUAGCUGGUCUGAGAGGAUGAUCAGCCACACUGGAACUGAGACACGGUCCAGACUCCUACGGGAGGCAGCAGUGGGGAAUAUUGGACAAUGGGCGCAAGCCUGAUCCGGCCAUACCGCGUGGGUGAAGAAGGCCUUCGGGUUGUAAAGCCCUUUUGUUGGGAAAGAAAAGCAGCAGGUUAAUACCCCGCUGUUCUGACGGUACCCAAAGAAUAAGCACCGGCUAACUUCGUG
rnacentral:rRNA from 1 species